GACGAACGCUGGCGGCGUGCCUAAUACAUGCAAGUUGAGCGAUGAAGAUUGGUGCUUGCACCAAUUUGAAGAGCAGCGAACGGGUGAGUAACGCGUGGGGAAUCUGCCUUUGAGCGGGGGACAACAUUUGGAAACGAAUGCUAAUACCGCAUAACAACUUUAAACAUAAGUUUUAAGUUUGAAAGAUGCAAUUGCAUCACUCAAAGAUGAUCCCGCGUUGUAUUAGCUAGUUGGUGAGGUAAAGGCUCACCAAGGCGAUGAUACAUAGCCGACCUGAGAGGGUGAUCGGCCACAAUGGGACUGAGACACGGCCCAAACUCCUACGGGAGGCAGCAGUAGGGAAUCUUCGGCAAUGGACGAAAGGCUGACCGAGCAACGCCGCGUGAGUGAAGAAGGGUUUCGGAUCGUAAAACUCUGUUGGUAGAGAAGAACGUUGGUGAGAGUGGAAAGCUCAUCAAGUGACGGUAACUACCCAGAAAGGGACGGCUAACUACGUG
rnacentral:rRNA from 1 species